rnacentral:snoRNA from 1 species
GCCUGUAUGUGACUGUGACCCUGGGUGCUCUUGGUCAUUAAUAGUGCAAGCAGAGGAACUUCUGAAGUGCGUCUUGUGUUUGGAGGUCCACUCCUGUCCCCUGUCCCUUUCAAACCCUGAAAUUCUCUCU